rnacentral:rRNA from 1 species
UACGUAGGUGGCAAGCGUUGUCCGGAAUUAUUGGGCGUAAAGCGCGCGCAGGCGGUCCUUUAAGUCUGAUGUGAAAGCCCACGGCUCAACCGUGGAGGGUCACGCGAUACUGCUCGACUUGAAGGCAGGAGAGGGAAGUGGAAUUCCCGGUGUAGUGGUGAAAUGCGUAGAUAUCGGGAGGAACACCAGUGGCGAAGGCGACUUCCUGGCCUGUUCUUGACGCUGAGGCGCGAAAGCUAGGGUAGCAAACGGG